UCUGUUUUUUCAAUGCACCAUCAAGUCCAGAAGAGAUUUAAAACAGUAAAGUAUAACUUCCUGAUAAAUCAUAUUAACAUUGUUUAAGAGACUACACCUGUGUUUUUGCUGUUCUGUCACUUUAAUUUUGUCUCUCAACUUAGCUUGAAAAAAACAUAAAAUGACACGCUGUUGCUUAAAAAAAUAGAAGAAAAAAACAAAGAAAAUGACACAAUACCUGUAAAUGACAUGAGAAAAGAAAUCAAAGCCUUGAGAGCAGAGAAUCAGCAACUAAAGGCCCUGAACUUUAAACUGCAAAAUGGUAGGUUAUUUAUAUACAUAGUUAUAGAUUUUUUGCUAUGAAUGUAUGAGUUUAUUUAAACAUUGUUUUCUUUAUUUGGAGAUUAUUAACAGAAUUGCGGAGUUGCUGCCAGACAGCAGUGUAAACAAGCAUGUGCCAUCCUCCCUAACAAGUUCAACCAGACAACUCUUCACAUAGUUCUUCUGAACUGGACCGUGUUGAAAUCCACAGAAAACGAAACAAGGAUACAUCGUGGUCAGCCAUGAUCAAGGAUUUAGCUGUGGCUGGUUUUGGAAGGAGCAUGUUACCCGAAGCCUUUCUGCAAAAUUUUGAAAUGCCAACAAAGAAUCACAAGCCAAGCCUCGUUUGGACCCACACAAGUGGAACUUAUUAUAGGUAUAAAAGUGUUGAAAGUCUUUAAAGGAAUAGUUUAGUAGUCUUUUGUCCUAGUAUGGGAGUCAAUGGUGACCCAAAACGGCUUAGUUACAAACUUUUGUGAUUUGUGUACAGCACAACAAGGAAAUGCAUGAAGGUUUGUAACAACUGCAGGGUGAGCAAAUGAUGACAACAUUUUUCAUUUGUGGGUGAAUUAUUCCCCAAAUUCUCUCAUAACAAGUAUCUGACACUAAAGUGUAUUUACAUUUCUCUUUCAGACACUGUUCAUUUCCAGCAACUCCCCAAAAGCUUCUUCGGGCUGCUGAGAAAAAAUAAUGAUGAACAUAAACUUCUUAGCAGGCAACAUCAGAAGGACACUGUUACGCUGCAACACUGAGUGGACAUAAG